rnacentral:lncRNA from 1 species
UUUACUGCAUUAUGUUGCCUACUGAGCUGUUAGCUCACUCCUACUAUUUACAUUUUUACAGGUGAUGAUAUAUGAAUAUGGGGAUUACGGGAUGGAGUGAUCAUGAUGUAUUUAGCUAGUGGAUAUUGACUUUCUCUUUUGACUUAUGUAUAUAUGGACAUUUGAUUUGAAAACUGGAAGUUAUUUUUAAUUAGUUAUUGAUAGUUGAUCUGAUGUAUCUGCCUUGCGUGCCUGCGGGGUCCGCCCUGUAGGUGCGCGGCGUCUGCUCGCGCCUCGGGCCCCGG